AAAUCAAUUUGAUAAUUUGCCAAAUAUGUUGAACCAGCCUAGAGCACAAAUUCAAAAUUCACUACAUUAGCGUUCAUUCUGUUCAUGAGCGGCACUCUCAAGAAGCGCAAAACAAAAUUAAUUGUGUGAGUUCCUACUGACGUUGUGAGCGGCCGUGGGAAUUGAUUGCCCAUAAAAAUGGAUCAAAUCUGCCGGGUGGCUUGUAGCACAUGCUAUCGCCCGCGUGCAUCGACCCGUUGAGAAUCCUUUCAGGUUGCAAUGACCUUUGGCGUUUUCUUUCCACCCAAGAUUUUGGGGCCGAACAGCGAGAUGGAUGAUUGAAGCUGUUCGUGGAAAGAGAUGCAAACAUGCGCGAAUAUGAUUAUUUAGAGCGCGAGAGUAAUUUUCGGAAUCACGAAAUUAACUUCGUGAUGUCCGGUGAUGCAAUUUACAAUUUGGCGGUUAAUCUGAGGAUUCCCAAGUUGAUCAAGUUCACUUCGAACUGAUCCGUGGAAGAGGCAGGAGUGGCCCAAAGUUCUCGCGCCGUGGUGUCUUUUCAAAGUUUGUAGAAUCGUGUGUGCUAUUGUGAAAAGGCGGUGUGUUAUCGUGUGUGGCUUCGUGCAAUUAAAGGUUUCUUGCCAAGCCGUUAAUCCGUCCGUGGCACCACAAUCGAACUCCCAGUGGCCAUUUCUGACCCCACCAUCAGGCUCAGAAGUUCUCCCGGGGCACGCCGGAAGAGGGACGCUUCCGUUUUUCUACGCUCCCUAGGCAGGACGAAUCAGCAAGCGCAAUCGCAUUUCCGUUCCCCUAGUGACGACUAGGGAAACCUCGACGCACGUGUCGCGUCGCGCGCAAAGAAAGUUAUUCCGAUGUUCGAGUGAACCGACCGCCAACCAGCAGCAGAAAGGCAAUCCGCCUACCCCCGGCGGCAACCAAACUCCUUCGCCGAACGAGAGAGCAGCAGCGAAUUCACCGCCACCCCCUUUCCGUUCAUCCGGCGGCGGCAACAUCGUCACCGAAGAAGGUCUGUGAGUACCCACCCAUUUAACAUUCAUGCGCAUGACAAGUUAAUUCACGCCGCAACAUAGUUUCCGUUGCGUGGCGUGCACGGCCGUUUUUGUAAGACCGUGAAGCAAAUUCCGUGAAUCGAAAACCCAUUGCGUUCGCCGAGGCGAACGAGAGAUUCAAUAGCACGUUGUUCGUUAUGCACACCUAGCCAAAGCACACACACGAUAGGUAGACAGGGACCAUAGCAUGGGAAAGGUUGAGAGAGAGCAAGAGUAGAGUAGCAAGAGAAGAGAAACGAGAAAUGAACACUGAUGUAGAAAGAUAGAUGUAAGAAAUAAAGCUCAAUGUGACUGGAUAAAAGCUCAUUUGUUCCGUGCGUAUACAGAAACAUUUCAGUCGUAGAGUAUGAGAAAUGAGGAAGCGGACAGUUAGAUUCCUGCAAUAAAUGUUGGUCCCAAUUAAGUGAAAUGAGUUGAGUGUUUUUCAUGUCACACGUGUCCCGUUUGUAGUUUUUUGUUGUAGAAAUUGUUUUACUGGGGAGGUUGGCUCCGAAACCAACCGGGCAACUUUUUAGUCGGACACGGGUCGGUUCGAUUGGGAAUUUCGGGAUACUUGCCGGUGAUGAUAAAACCCCCUUUAUAUAAUUCAUCACUGGCCGUUAAUUGCAAUCGUGUUCUAAGUAAUUGUAUUCACAAAACGCAUUAGUAGCGUUUCUUUUUGCGGACAGUUUCAGUCAGCCAUCUAACUUCCCGGACCAAAUUUAAAAACUGAGCCUUCUUCCC